UGGGGGGACCAUCCUCCAAGGCUAAAUACUCCUGACUGACCGAUAGUGAACCAGUACCGUGAGGGAAAGGCGAAAAGAACCCCGGCGAGGGGAGUGAAAAAGAACCUGAAACCGUGUACGUACAAGCAGUGGGAGCCUCUUAAUGGGGUGACUGCGUACCUUUUGUAUAAUGGGUCAGCGACUUAUAUUCUGUAGCAAGGUUAACCGAAUAGGGGAGCCGAAGGGAAACCGAGUCUUAACUGGGCGUUAAGUUGCAGGGUAUAGACCCGAAACCCGGUGAUCUAGCCAUGGGCAGGUUGAAGGUUGGGUAACACUAACUGGAGGACCGAACCGACUAAUGUUGAAAAAUUAGCGGAUGACUUGUGGCUGGGGGUGAAAGGCCAAUCAAACCGGGAGAUAGCUGGUUCUCCCCGAAAGCUAUUUAGGUAGCGCCUCGUGAAUUCAUCUCCGGGGGUAGAGCACUGUUUCGGCAAGGGGGUCAUCCCGACUUACCAACCCGAUGCAAACUGCGAAUACCGGAGAAUGUUAUCACGGGAGACACACGGCGGGUGCUAACGUCCGUCGUGAAGAGGGAAACAACCCAGACCGCCAGCUAAGGUCCCAAAGUCAUGGUUAAGUGGGAAACGAUGUGGGAAGGCCCAGACAGCCAGGAUGUUGGCUUAGAAGCAGCCAUCAUUUAAAGAAAGCGUAAUAGCUCACUGGUCGAGUCGGCCUGCGCGGAAGAUGUAACGGGGCUAAACCAUGCACCGAAGCUGCGGCAGCGACACUAUGUGUUGUUGGGUAGGGGAGCGUUCUGUAAGCCUGUGAAGGUGUACUGUGAGGUAUGCUGGAGGUAUCAGAAGUGCGAAUGCUGACAUAAGUAACGAUAAAGCGGGUGAAAAGCCCGCUCGCCGGAAGACCAAGGGUUCCUGUCCAACGUUAAUCGGGGCAGGGUGAGUCGACCCCUAAGGCGAGGCCGAAAGGCGUAGUCGAUGGGAAACAGGUUAAUAUUCCUGUACUUGGUGUUACUGCGAAGGGGGGACGGAGAAGGCUAUGUUGGCCGGGCGACGGUUGUCCCGGUUUAAGCGUGUAGGCUGGUUUUCCAGGCAAAUCCGGAAAAUCAAGGCUGAGGCGUGAUGACGAGGCACUACGGUGCUGAAGCGACAAAUGCCCUGCUUCCAGGAAAAGCCUCUAAGCAUCAGGUAACAUCAAAUCGUACCCCAAACCGACACAGGUGGUCAGGUAGAGAAUACCAAGGCGCUUGAGAGAACUCGGGUGAAGGAACUAGGCAAAAUGGUGCCGUAACUUCGGGAGAAGGCACGCUGAUAUGUAGGUGAAGCGACUUGCUCGUGGAGCUGAAAUCAGUCGAAGAUACCAGCUGGCUGCAACUGUUUAUUAAAAACACAGCACUGUGCAAACACGAAAGUGGACGUAUACGGUGUGACGCCUGCCCGGUGCCGGAAGGUUAAUUGAUGGGGUUAGCGGUAACGCGAAGCUCUUGAUCGAAGCCCCGGUAAACGGCGGCCGUAACUAUAACGGUCCUAAGGUAGCGAAAUUCCUUGUCGGGUAAGUUCCGACCUGCACGAAUGGCGUAAUGAUGGCCAGGCUGUCUCCACCCGAGACUCAGUGAAAUUGAACUCGCUGUGAAGAUGCAGUGUACCCGCGGCAAGACGGAAAGACCCCGUGAACCUUUACUAUAGCUUGACACUGAACAUUGAGCCUUGAUGUGUAGGAUAGGUGGGAGGCUUUGAAGUGUGGACGCCAGUCUGCAUGGAGCCGACCUUGAAAUACCACCCUUUAAUGUUUGAUGUUCUAACGUGGGCCCCUUACCGGGGUUGCGGACAGUGUCUGGUGGGUAGUUUGACUGGGGCGGUCUCCUCCUAAAGAGUAACGGAGGAGCACGAAGGUUGGCUAAUCCUGGUCGGACAUCAGGAGGUUAGUGCAAUGGCAUAAGCCAGCUUGACUGCGAGCGUGACGGCGCGAGCAGGUGCGAAAGCAGGUCAUAGUGAUCCGGUGGUUCUGAAUGGAAGGGCCAUCGCUCAACGGAUAAAAGGUACUCCGGGGAUAACAGGCUGAUACCGCCCAAGAGUUCAUAUCGACGGCGGUGUUUGGCACCUCGAUGUCGGCUCAUCACAUCCUGGGGCUGAAGUAGGUCCCAAGGGUAUGGCUGUUCGCCAUUUAAAGUGGUACGCGAGCUGGGUUUAGAACGUCGUGAGACAGUUCGGUCCCUAUCUGCCGUGGGCGCUGGAGAACUGAGGGGGGCUGCUCCUAGUACGAGAGGACCGGAGUGGACGCAUCACUGGUGUUCGGGUUGUCAUGCCAAUGGCACUGCCCGGUAGCUAAAUGCGGAAGAGAUAAGUGCUGAAAGCAUCUAAGCACGAAACUUGCCCCGAGAUGAGUUCUCCCUGACUCCUUGAGAGUCCUGAAGGAACGUUGAAGACGACGACGUUGAUAGGCCGGGUGUGUAAGCGCAGCGAUGCGUUGAGCUAACCGGUACUAAUGAACCGUGAGGCUUAACCUUACAACGCCGAAG
rnacentral:rRNA from 1 species